rnacentral:rRNA from 1 species
GCUUGCUCCUUGAUUCAGCGGCGGACGGGUGAGUAAUACCUAGGAAUCUGCCUGAUAGUGGGGGACAACGUUUCGAAAGGAACGCUAAUACCGCAUACGUCCUACGGGAGAAAGCAGGGGACCUUCGGGCCUUGCGCUAUCAGAUGAGCCUAGGUCGGAUUAGCUAGUUGGUGAGGUAAUGGCUCACCAAGGCGACGAUCCGUAACUGGUCUGAGAGGAUGAUCAGUCACACUGGAACUGAGACACGGUCCAGACUCCUACGGGAGGCAGCAGUGGGGAAUAUUGGACAAUGGGCGAAAGCCUGAUCCAGCCAUGCCGCGUGUGUGAAGAAGGUCUUCGGAUUGUAAAGCACUUUAAGUUGGGAGGAAGGGCAGUAAGCUAAUACCUUGCUGUUUUGACGUUACCGACAGAAUAAGCACCGGCUAACUCUGUGCCAGCAGCCGCGGUAAUACAGAGGGUGCAAGCGUUAAUCGGAAUUACUGGGCGUAAAGCGCGCGUAGGUGGUUCGUUAAGUUGGAUGUGAAAUCCCCGGGCUCAACCUGGGAACUGCAUC